UUCCGGUUGAUCCUGCCGGAGGUUACUGCUUUUGAGAUUCGACUAAGCCAUGCGAGUCGAAUGUUCUUCGUGAACAUGGCGGACUGCUCAGUAACACGUGGACAACCUACCCUUGGGUCUGGCAUAAUCCUGGGAGACUGGGUAUAAUUCCAGAUAGGUCACAGAUGCUGGAAUGCACUGUGGCCGAAAGCUCCGGCGCCCAAGGAUGGGUCUGCGGCCUAUCAGGGUUGUAGUGGGUGUAACGGACCUACUAGCCUACGACGGGUACGGGUUGUGAGAGCAAGAGCCCGGAGAUGGAUUCUGAGACACGAAUCCAGGCCCUACGGGGUGCAGCAGGCGCGAAAACUUUACAAUGCGGGAAACCGUGAUAAGGGAAUCUCGAGUGCCAGCAUAUAAUGUUGGCUGUCCAGAUGCCUAAAAAGCAUCUGUUAGCAAGGGCCGGGCAAGACCGGUGCCAGCCGCCGCGGUAACACCGGCGGCCCGAGUGGUAACCACUUUUAUUGGGUCUAAAGGGUCUGUAACCGGACAAGUAAGUCACCUUGGGAAAUCUGG
rnacentral:rRNA from 1 species